GUCCACGCCCUAAACGAUGUCAACUGGUUGUUGGACGGCUUGCUGUUCAGUAACGAAGCUAACGCGUGAAGUUGACCGCCUGGGGAGUACGGCCGCAAGGUUGAAACUUAAAGGAAUUGACGGGACCCGCACAAGCGGUGGAUGAUGUGGUUUAAUUCGAUGCAACGCGAAAAACCUUCCUACCCUUGACAUGCCAGGAACUUGCCAGAGAUGGCUUGGUGCUAGAAAGAGAACCUGGACACAGGUGCUGCAUGGCCGUCGU
rnacentral:rRNA from 1 species